rnacentral:rRNA from 1 species
GACGAACGCUGGCGGCGUGCUUAACACAUGCAAGUCGAACGGAAAGGCCCUGCUUUUGUGGGGUGCUCGAGUGGCGAACGGGUGAGUAGCACGUGAGUAACCUGCCCUUGACUUUGGGAUAACUUCAGGAAACUGGGGCUAAUACCGGAUAGGAGCUCCUGCUGCAUGGUGGGGGUUGGAAAGUUUCGGCGGUUGGGGAUGGACUCGCGGCUUAUCAGCUUGUUGGUGGGGUAGUGGCUUACCAAGGCUUUGACGGGUAGCCGGCCUGAGAGGGUGACCGGACACAUUGGGACUGAGAUACGGCACAGACUCCUACGGGAGGCAGCAGUGGGGAAUAUUGCACAAUGGGCGGAAGCCUGAUGCAGCAACGCCGCGUGCGGGAUGACGGCCUUCGAGUUGUAAACCGCUUUCGCCUGUGACGAAGCGUGAGUGACGGUAAUGGGUAAAGAAGCACCGGCUAACUACGUG